rnacentral:rRNA from 1 species
CGGCCGCGGUAUUUUGACCGUGCAAAGGUAGCGCAAUCACUUGUCUUUUAAAUAGAGACCUGUAUGAAUGGCUAAACGAGGGCUUAACUGUCUCCCCUUUCCAGUCAGUGAAAUUGAUCUACCCGUGCAGAAGCGGGUAUAAUAAUACAAGACGAGAAGACCCUUUGGAGCUUAAGGUACAAAACUCAACCACGUCAAGCAACUCAAUAAAAAGCAAAAACUUUGUGAAACAUGAGAUUUUACCUUCGGUUGGGGCGACCACGGAGGAAAACAAAGCCUCCAAGUGGACUGGGAAAACCUCCUAAAACCAAGAGAGACAUCUCUAAGCCACAGAACAUCUGACCAAACAUGAUCCGGCCACCCAAAGCCGAUCAACGAACCAAGUUACCCUAGGGAUAACAGCGCAAUCCUCUCCCAGAGUCCAUAUCGACGAGAGGGUUUACGACCUCGAUGUUGGAUCAGGACAUCCUAAUGGUGCAGCCGCUAUUAAGGGUU